GCUAGUAAUGGCAGGUCAGCAUACUGCCGUGAAUACGUUCCCGGGCCUUGUACACACCGCCCGUCACACCAUGAGAGUUGGGGAUACCCAAAGCCCGUGAGCCAACUAUAUAGAGGCAGCGGUCUAAGGUAGAAUCAAUGAUUGGGGUGAAGUCGUAACAAGGUACC
rnacentral:rRNA from 1 species